AGUAGGGAAUAUUGGUCAAUGGAGGAGACUCUGAACCAGCCAUGCCGCGUGCAGGAAGACGGCCUUCUGGGUUGUAAACUGCUUUUGACAGGGAAGAAAACGGCUAUGCGUAGCUAACUGACGGUACCUGUAGAAUAAGCACCGGCUAACUCCGUGCCAGCAGCCGCGGUAAUACGGAGGGUGCAAGCGUUGUCCGGAUUUAUUGGGUUUAAAGGGUACGUAGGUGGCCUUAUAAGUCAGUGGUGAAAUGCUGCAGCUUAACUGUAGCACUGCCAUUGAUACUGUAGGGCUUGAGUGUCGUUGAGGCAGGCGGAAUUUAUGGUGUAGCGGUGAAAUGCAUAGAUACCAUAAAGAACACCGAUAGCGAAGGCAGCUUGCUAAGCGACAACUGACACUAAUGUACGAAAGCGUGGGUAGCGAA
rnacentral:rRNA from 1 species